GUUGGUAUUUGAUUUUAUUUUAAUUUUUAGUAUUAUUAUUUUUGUUUUUAUUUCUAUAUAUAUUUCAUUUUAGUAUAUAUAUUUUUUCUUUUUAGGAUUGCUUAAAUUAAAAAAUAAAAAUAAAAAAUAGUACUAGUUAGUAUAGGUUGGUAAGUGAUUGUAUUUCAAUUUUAUUUAUUAUUAUUAUUUUUAUUAUUUUUAUUUUUUAUCUAUUUUUCAUUUUAGUGUAUAUAUUCUUUUUAGUUAUUUAUUUUAUUUAUUUUUAUUUUUAUUUUUAGUGUAUAUAUUUAAAAAAAAAAAAAAAAAACAAAGGAUCGAUCUCCACAAAGGGAUUGAUUAAUCCCAUGCUUGGCAGAGAGCAACAAAAAAUUACCCCAUGUGGAUUGAUCCCCCAUCAUGUGGAUCGUUCCAUUUUUGCCAUGUAUCUCUGCUUUCUCAUUCCAUAGUAAAGGGAAAAGUUUUUGCCUAAAAUUAUCGAUCCCCCACUCUAAAGAUCGAGCGCCAUGCCCAAACAAAAUUCUUUUUCUUUCCCCAAAAAUCUCUAAACCCAAUUUCAUCGUCCAACCCUCACGGUUGGCUCUUUCUUCCGCGGUGUCGUAAGCCUUCAAUUCUGGCGCCAUGGCUCUCGGCCUUUGCUUUGCUUCGCCGGUUUAAGACUCGGUUCUUUCUUCUUCUCUUCCGGCGGCCUUGAUUUCCUUUGUAAAACGUUGUUGGGUGCGAUUACAAGGUGGGGUAACCGUUCCUGAAAAAUACCAGCGCCGACGGUUAAUUUCUUCUCUAGUCACGGUUGGGUUGCUGUUUUUCGGCGAUUUCAGCUGGAUUUGAAAGGCGUUGUGGCUGGGUCAUUCAACGGCGUCGCAUCUGGGUUCUUUCCAACGAUCGCAGUUGGGUUUUCUCCGGAUCGCGGCUGUUCGUCUUUCUGGUGUCGCGGCUAUUCGCUGUUCCUUCCGGCGUUUAGAUUGGUUUGUUCUUUCCAGUGCUGGCUGAGUUCUUUUCCGGCGAUUUUGACUAGCUAUUUUCUCCAGCGAUUUUAGCUGGAUUUUGGCUGGUUCUUCUUUAGAUCGCGACUGUUUCUUUUCCAGCGUUGUUUCCUUUCUAGGUCGUCUUCCAGCGUCACAUUUGUUCGUCUUUCCGGUGAUUUCGGCUUAGUCUCGCCGGCGAUCAUGGCUGGGUUCUUCUUUGGCCACGAUUUGAGACUCGGCCUUCACUUCGCUUAACUUAUCCCAUGUGAUAUUUGAUGUGAGUUUGCUAGUAUGGUUAUACAGCUAGGUUUUUGUAUCCAAGUUUGGGGGAGACAUCUUUCCUAAUGGAUCAUUGCCAGAUUUCAUAAUCUUUGCCAUCACGGUAUACUCUUUCCAUUAAUUUUCAUUAUUCUCAUUACACAUCGAGGAUAAUGAAUAGUUUAAGUUUGGGGGUCAAUAAGGUUCAAACGGACUAAUUUUGGUUCAUUGAAGCCUUUUUGGAGUCAAGUAAAGACAUUCAGUAAAAGUUCAGAAAAUGGCAAAAAGAGGUCGCAGCCCAUUGCUCGUAUAGUGUGUUUAUUCUUCAAGAGCGGUCAAUCUCGGCCUUUGAUGAUGUUCCCAAAGAUGAAGAAGCAAACCAAUUAGCUCAGGGCCAAAAUGGAGCUAAAUAAGGCUUAAAUGAAAUUUCCUACUCUGGGGGAUCGAUCCCCCACUAUUCACAAGAACUAAAAAUGCCCUUGGGGGAUCGAUCCCCAAGGUUGUGGGAUCAAUCCCCCAGUACCUGGCAGUAUUACGGGAUUUUCUUAUUUUGGGCUUAUUUUUGUAACUUAUGGGCUUUAAUAGGGUUUGUUACUUAAAGCCCAGUGAGCCAUUAGUUUAGGGUUAGUUUUUAUUUUAUUUAAGGAAUUUUUAAUUUAUUAAUUAAAGGAGGAUUUUAGGUUUUA